CAGUCGCCGCGGUAAUACGUAGGGUGCAAGCGUUAAUCGGAAUUACUGGGCGUAAAGCGUGCGCAGGCGGUCCGCUAAGACAGAUGUGAAAUCCCCGGGCUUAACCUGGGAAAUGCAUUUGUGACUGGCGGGCUAGAGUAUGGCAGAGGGGGGUAGAAUUCCACGUGUAGCAGUGAAAUGCGUAGAGAUGUGGAGGAAUACCGAUGGCGAAGGCAGCCCCCUGGGCCAAUACUGACGCUCAUGCACGAAAGCGUGGGGAGCAAACAGGAUUAGAUACCCGCGUAGUCCCUGUCUCUUAUAC
rnacentral:rRNA from 1 species